CGGCGGACGGGUGAGUAAUGUAUGGGGAUCUGCCUGAUGGCGGGGGAUAACUACUGGAAACGGUAGCUAAUACCGCAUAAUGUCUACGGACCAAAGCGGGGGGACCUCCGGGCCUCGCGCCAUCAGAUGAACCCAUAUGGGAUUAGCUUGUAGGUAAGGUAACGGCUUACCUAGGCGACGAUCCCUAGCUGGUCUGAGAGGAUGACCAGCCACACUGGAACUGAGACACGGUCCAG
rnacentral:rRNA from 1 species